UAAUUGAAGUAAAUUAUACGUUCAAUUUCGGCUUGAGAAAAAGGUAUUUUACCCAAUU
rnacentral:tRNA from 1 species